UUCCAACUUAUUUCUUCUUUUCUAUGUCGUUUUAAAAAUGAGUAAAAUCUGCAUCGAAACUAUCUUCGAUGAUCUGUUUAUCGCGCGAAUUAACGGAUCGAAUCGAUACAAAGAGAAAAAAACCAUGACACGAUUCGAUUAUCUACUCUCCGGAUCUCAGCCACAAUACGUAAGAAAUGAGAGACGGAGAGAGCGAAGAAACAUCCGGGUAGUACGUGAAACACGUGACCUCACGUCAAGUUUUCACCUUCAUUGACCCGUCUGUGGGAGUACCUGUACUCACCUGGUGGCCGGACGCAGAAAUCAUCUCUUUUCUACUUUCCUUUCUGUGCCGGACACAACACGGGAGGCCCUCGACAUUAAUAGUGGAGUAUUGGGGCGUAUUUCUAUUGACGGCUGUGUGUGUUAGGUAUAGAAUGAACAGCUUCCCUCCUCCCUUUCACAUCCAUACAGCUGUCUGUGCCCAACAUCAUAUUAGCUUGACAAAGUGGUAGGUGAAAGAGAUGACGAUACUUUUCUAUCCUAUUUGGAAAACUUGGGAUUAUACAGCAUCUGCGAAAAUACAUUAUAUUAAUAUUUAAAAGAAUAAUCUGGAUUUUGAGUUAGCUAAUUACACCCGGCUUUUGCUCUAGUAAUAUUUUUUCCGUCGAGAAAAAAUAUUUAGGAGUAUAGCAGAGAUGAAGUCGUAAUUAGAUUCCCACCAGGUUUAAUCAUAACCCAAUUGCAGUUGUGUGUAUAGAGAGAAGAACUUGGCUUCUCUUGUUAGCGAAAGAACUCCCCCUGAACUUCACUUAAUUCCAGAUCACUAACGAGAUGGAACUCUCCUUCUUAUCUCCGUGCAGGGUACCAAGUUACCAACUAUAUUGUCUGCUGGUGCUUCGGGUGUGGCCAGGGACAGAACAACGGUGGGAGUUUAGCCCCAGGGCUGGUGUAAUACAACGCUGUGUUGUCAUAGUAACCAAGCGCUAUUUUUCUUUUCGCAUUGGGAAGCGUAGGAAGUAAGGAGAAUGUAUUGGCUGCACCCAACCUGCUGACUAAGCUAGAAGGGUUUCAUUUUCUAGUCAAGUAAUAGAAAUAACCCCUCUUUCUCUGGCAAUUAAGGAAGCUUAAUUGAAAAGUGAAAUGUUCCAGCUGCCUUCAACUCUUUUCUCCUAGCAAGUUUUUCCAUCGGAUUGAAUUAAAAAUUGAAC
rnacentral:lncRNA from 1 species